AAGCGUGCGCAGGCGGUUUUGUAAGACUGUCGUGAAAUCCCCGGGCUCAACCUGGGAAUGGCGAUGGUGACUGCAAGGCUAGAGUUUGGCAGAGGGGGGUAGAAUUCCACGUGUAGCAGUGAAAUGCGUAGAUAUGUGGAGGAACACCGAUGGCGAAGGCAGCCCCCUGGGUCAAAACUGACGCUCAUGCACGAAAGCGUGGGGAGCAAACAGGAUUAGAUACCCCCUGU
rnacentral:rRNA from 1 species